UCUGAACAGACAUCUGAACUCUAGGAACAAAGUCUUUCUUUCUGGUUUAAACUUAAAUACACCAUGUUUAAGAAGAUUCUUGUAUUUGUAAUUCUGGCAGUUUUACCAUGUACUGAAUGUCAGACAUUAACUCAGUCUGAAACAGUGGUUAAAAAACCAGGAGAGUCUCAUAAACUUACAUGUACAAUAACUGGAUUUACAUUCAGCAGUCUCUAUCUACAUUGGAUCAGACAGAGUCCUGGAAAAGGACUGGAGUGGAUUGCAUACAUCAGCACAUCCAGUUCUCCUAUAAGAUAUUCCCAGUCAGUCCAGGGAAGGUUCACAGUGUCCAGAGAUGACUCCAGCAGUCAACUGUACCUGCAGAUGAACAGCCUCAAGACUGAAGACACUGCUGUCUAUUACUGUGCUAAAGAGUCACUGUGA